UACGUAGGCAGCGAGUGUUGUUCGGAAUUACUGGGCGUAAAGAGUGUGUAGGCGGUGCUCUAAGUUCGGUGUGAAAUCUCCCGGCUUAACUGGGAGGGUGCGCCGGAAACUGGAGUGCUCGAGCGUGGGAGAGGAAAGCGGAAUUCCUGGUGUAGCGGUGAAAUGCGUAGAUAUCAGGAGGAACACCUGCGGUGUAGACGGCUUUCUGGACCAUUGCUGACGCUGAGACACGAAAGCGUGGGUAGCAAACAGG
rnacentral:rRNA from 1 species